CGUACACUCCUACGGGAGGCAGCAGUGGGGAAUAUUGGACAAUGGGCGCAAGCCUGAUCCAGCCAUGCCGCGUGAGUGAUGAAGGCCCUAGGGUUGUAAAGCUCUUUCACCGGUGAAGAUAAUGACGGUAACCGGAGAAGAAGCCCCGGCUAACUUCGUGCCAGCAGCCGCGGUAAUACGAAGGGGGCUAGCGUUGUUCGGAUUUACUGGGCGUAAAGCGCACGUAGGCGGACUAUUAAGUCAGGGGUGAAAUCCCGGGGCUCAACCCCGGAACUGCCUUUGAUACUGGUAGUCUUGAGUUCGAGAGAGGUGAGUGGAAUUCCGAGUGUAGAGGUGAAAUUCGUAGAUAUUCGGAGGAACACCAGUGGCGAAGGCGGCUCACUGGCUCGAUACUGACGCUGAGGUGCGAAAGCGUGGGGAGCAAACAGGAUUAGAUACCCGUGUAGUCCCAUG
rnacentral:rRNA from 1 species